CUGACUCACUGUUGUUCGCUCUCGCAGAGGAACAAGUCAGUUAGGAAGCUGCACAGCAGCCAUGGCUUUUAAGGAUACUGGAAAAACACCUGUGGAGCUAGAGGUGGCAAUUCACCGGAUUCGAAUCACUCUAACAAGCCGUAAGGUAAAAUCUCCGGAGGUGUGUGCUGAUUUGAUCAGAAGAGCAAAGGAAAAGAACCUCAAAGUGAACGGACCAGUUCGAAUGCCUACCAAGACUUUGAGAAUCACUACAAGAAAAACUCCUUGUGGUGAAGGUUCUAAGACAUGGGAUCGUUUCCAGAUGAGAAUCCACAGUGACUCAUUGACUUGCACAGUCCUCCUGAUAUUGUUAAACAGAUUACUUCCAUCAGUAUUGAGCCAGGAGUUAAGGUGGAAUUCAUUAUUGCAGAUGCUUAA